AUGAGAGGGAGGGACCAGAGCAUUUUGUAAAAACUCAGAGACAAACCCCAGGGAAGGAGGAGCUCUACAAACCAGCAAGUCACUCCCAAGUAAAGGACAUCUACAGGGAGUGGCAUGGAUUAGGUGACCGAGGGAGAGGCAGUGGCAGAGAGAAUGACCAGCAGCAGCAUCAGGCAAGAGACACAGGACAGCUUUCUCGAACCCAGUCGACCAGCUCUCUCCAUACACAGAGGUCAAGCAGUCCAUCUCGAGAAGAAGCCAACCCCUGGAAGGGCCAGCUUAGAUCUCGACCUAGACACACACAGG